rnacentral:rRNA from 1 species
GAUGAACGCUGGCGGCGUGCCUAAUACAUGCAAGUCGAGCGAACAGACGAGGAGCUUGCUCCUCUGACGUUAGCGGCGGACGGGUGAGUAACACGUGGAUAACCUACCUCUAAGACUGGGAUAACUUCGGGAAACCGGAGCUAAUACCGGAUAAUAUAUUGAACCGCAUGGUUCAAUAGUGAAUGACGGUUUUGCUGUCACUUAUAGAUGGAUCCGCGCCGCAUUAGCUAGUUGGUAAGGUAACGGCUUACCAAGGCAACGAUGCGUAGCCGACCUGAGAGGGUGAUCGGCCACACUGGAACUGAGACACGGUCCAGACUCCUACGGGAGGCAGCAGUAGGGAAUCUUCCGCAAUGGGCGAAAGCCUGACGGAGCAACGCCGCGUGAGUGAUGAAGGUCUUCGGAUCGUAAAACUCUGUUAUUAGGGAAGAACAAAUGUGUAAGUAACUAUGCACGUCUUGACGGUACCUAAUCAGAAAGCCACGGCUAACUACGUG